rnacentral:rRNA from 1 species
CCUACGGGGGGCAGCAGUGGGGAAUUUUGGACAAUGGGCGCAAGCCUGAUCCAGCCAUUCCGCGUGAGUGAAGAAGGCCUUCGGGUUGUAAAGCUCUUUCGCGGAACGUGCGGUACCUUGAUAAGAAGCACCGGCUAACUACGUGCCAGCAGCCGCGGUAAUACGUAGGGUGCGAGCGUUAAUCGGAAUUACUGGGCGUAAAGCGUGCGCAGGCUGUUUUGUAAGUCAGAUGUGAAAUCCCCGAGCUCAACUUGGGAACUGCGUUUGAAACUACAAGACUAGAAUAGGUCAGAGGGGGGUAGAAUUCCACGUGUAGCAGUGAAAUGCGUAGAGAUGUGGAGGAAUACCAAUGGCGAAGGCAGCCCCCUGGAUAUAUUGACGCUCAUGCACGAAAGCGUGGGGAGCAAACAGGAUUAGAUACCCUUGUAGUC